rnacentral:lncRNA from 1 species
GCGUGAGGAUCCGCGCGUCGCCUGGGACACUGAGCGAGGGUAGCGGCCAGGUCACCGGCUGAGGACACUGCCCCUGAAGCCCGGUCAGGCGGUCGCGCCCUCCCUGGCGGCCCCCGCGGCCUGGCAGGACCUGUGCCCCGACGUCGCCGACCCGCGGCGUCCGUCGGGCGAGUGGGCCUGCCCGCGGGUAAGGCGCCGGCCCUGGGCCGCCCUCCCGGGACUCGGGAGGCGCCGCUGCAGAGUCUCGGGGAACUCCAGCUCUGUUCCCCGGGCUGGAGUGCAGUGGCCCAAUCUCAGCCCACUGCAACCAACGCCUCCUCUGUUCAAGGGAUUCUCCUGCCUCAGCUUCCCAAGUAGCUUGGAUUACAGGU